rnacentral:rRNA from 1 species
GACGAACGCUGGCGGCGUGCUUAACACAUGCAAGUCGAACGGAAAGGCCCCUUUGGGGGUCCUCGAGUGGCGAACGGGUGAGUAACACGUGAGUAACCUUCCCUUGACUUCGGGAUAACUUCAGGAAACUGGGGCUAAUACCGGAUAGGAAUCCUUGCUGCAUGGUGGGGGUUGGAAAGCUUCGGCGGUUUUGGAUGGACUCGCGGCUUAUCAGCUUGUUGGUGGGGUAGUGGCUUACCAAGGCGUUGACGGGUAGCCGGCCUGAGAGGGCGACCGGCCACAGUGGGACUGAGGUACGGCCCAGACUCCUACGGGAGGCAGCAGUGGGGAAGAUUGCACAAUGGGCGGAAGCCUGAUGCAGCAACGCCGCGUGCGGGAUGACGGCCUUCGGGUUGUAAACCGCUUUCAGCAGGGGCGAAGCUUGUGGUGACGGUACCUGCAGAAGAAGCACCGGCUAACUACGUG